AUGGUGCUUCUUCUCCUUGUCUUUCUCCUUGUGCUUGCUCUCCUCGCCGGCGUCGGCAUUGUUCUUCUUCUCUUUGCCCUUCCCGUGUUUGCUGUCUUCGCCGGCGUGGUUCUUCUUGUCUUUGCUCUUGUGCUCAUCCUUCUUCUCCUUGUCGGCCUCCUUGUGGUGGUGUUCGUCGCCCUUGCCGUGCUUGGUCUCAGCCGCAGCAGUCGGGUGCACGGCGGUUUUCUCCGGCUGCGGGACGACGUCGACGUCCUUGGUUUUGGGCGUGGCGGGCAGGGCGACCGGCUUAGGAGGCGGCCUGGCCGGCGCGGCGGCGUUCGAGUUGGUGUUGGACUGGGGAGGCAGCUCACGGAUGGGCGCGAGCGGCGAGGCCCGGGACGGGGACGGCCGGGAGGACGCAUGAGGAGGAGUCGGAGGAGCGGCGCCCCUGGUCGCCGGUGCAGUCGGUUGGCGGGGGUGGGAAGGAGACGGGCGGCGUGGCGAGGACGGCGCUGUAGUCGGGGACAGCCGGCGCGACACCUGCGGGCGCACCGCGGGCGGCGCCCCGCUCCAGUACGGGAACCAGUAGCGCGGCGGCUGCUGGUUCUGGUCGCCGUCCGCCAUGUCGUCGGGUGA
rnacentral:rRNA from 1 species